rnacentral:lncRNA from 1 species
UAUGACUCCAUUGGCAAAAAAGAAACUUAAAGUUUCGAUCCUCCAUCGUGGCCAAAGGCACCUCAAGUGUCUGAAUUUUGCCCCCAAAGUGUGAUCUCAACAUGCCGUCGAGACUAUAUCCAAAUGUUGUGAAAUAAUUUGAGGGUGAUAAUAUCUCAAACAGCCUUGGAGCGCUCGCCUGCUCUUGAAAUGAAAGCCAACGAAAUUAUGGAGGAAAUGCAAAGUUUCAAUGCCACGGAUAUCUCAAAUUUGCAAGGCCUUUUAAAGGCUUUCUUUGCAAAUACAGUUCGUUACGUCACAGUGAAAUCUUCUCUCUCAAACAAAAUUUCAGCUGAAUCAUAUGAUGAGUUGCUUUCUACGGCCAUCCAACAUCUUAAAGAUGCUCAGAGUAAGGAGAAAUGACAAGCGGAAAAGAUCUUAAUGCAC